CGCGCGAUGAACUUCUAGUAUAUUAUAAAGUAAUACCCUUUUUCCUGUAUAUUUAAGCGGUGCCCACACAGCGUUAAACGUAGCUGCAAGUUUUCUGCAGUUUCAUGAAAGGUUCGAAACAUGUCAGUAAUAUUUCAUUGAAACAUUUCUGUAACCUCCCUUGUACGGACUUAUAAAUGUAUAUUUGUGUACUUGUGCGACAACAACUACAAAAAUAUCGAACAGAAAGAUUUCAUGAAACAUUUCAUAUAAGUUUUACAAAAUUAUCAGGAAAUUUUUGUGAAAUCUUUUGGUACAGUUUUUACAGAAUAGAUAUUUAUAUAUUAAUUAUAAGUUUGGCUCGCAACAUGAAUGGAACCCCGGACGCAAGGGGUAUCUCGCUGAUACUUAACCAACAACACUAUUGCAACACUUAGAGAUAAAUGAUUAUUCACACAUCAGUUAUAAAAAGUCAUAAAACUUAUUUCCAAGACAUAAAGUAUUGGUAUCAGAUUAGUAAGUAAAUUCAGUAAUUAAGAACAAUAUGAGUAGAAAAUAUGUUCAAACCAGAAUGAAAAUUCUAUUCAAAAUGUUUCUUAUGAUAUUCAAGUAUUAGUCUAGAUAAUAAUUUAAUUUUGUUGAAUAAUUAAUGUAAUUUAAUAAAUUAAAAAUAUAUUCGUCAAUGCAAUAUCUACUCUUUUUAACAUUGAACAGUAAUUUUUCUAAAUCUAACUACCUACAGCAAAUGUAACUUGGAUACA